UGGGGGAUAUUGCACAAUGGGCGAAAGCCUGAUGCAGCGACGCCGCGUGGGGGAUGAAGGCCUUCGGGUUGUAAACUUCUUUUGCUCUGAACAAGGCAUGCUAAUGGGUGUGUUGAGUGUAGGGGUUGAUUAGCGCCGGCUAACUACGUGCCAGCAGCCGCGGUAAUACGUAGGGCGCGAGCGUUGUCCGGAAUUAUUGGGCGUAAAGGGCUUGUAGGUGGCUGGUUGCGUCUGUCGUGAAAGCUCAUGGCUUAACUGUGGGUUUGCGGUGGGUACGGGCUGGCUUGAGUGCAGUAGGGGAGGCUGGAAUUCCUGGUGUAGCGGUGGAAUGCGCAGAUAUCAGGAGGAAUACCGGUGGCGAAGGCGGGUCUCUGGGCUGUUACUGACACUGAGGAGCGAAGGCAUGGGGAGCGAACAGG
rnacentral:rRNA from 1 species